UACGGGGGGGGGCAAGCGUUGUUCGGAAUUACUGGGCGUAAAGGGCUCGUAGGUGGCCAACUAAGUCAAACGUGAAAUCCCUCGGCUUAACCGGGGAACUGCGUUUGAUACUGGAUGGCUUGAGUUUGGGAGAGGGAUGCGGAAUUCCAGGUGUAGCGGUGAAAUGCGUAGAUAUCUGGAGGAACACCUGUGGCGAAAGCGGCUCACUGGACCAUAACUGACGCUGAUGCACGAAAGCUGGGGGGAGCAAACAGG
rnacentral:rRNA from 1 species